AUAAACUUAAUCUCAUUUCUAAUAUGAACAUGAUCUGCGAAGUAAUGGAAUUUUGUUAUAAGUAAUGCUGGUACAUAUUUUGAAAUUCGACCACUGCUAAUUUCAAUUUAAAUGAUUCAUUGUAUAUUGACCAAAAAGUAUCAGAACUGAACCGUGUAUAUAGGUAUGUAUAUAAUAAAUAUAGCCAAUACAAUAAAUGCCCAUAGGAAAUAGGUUCUUUUUGUUCACACAAUAACAAAAGGGUUGCAUUCUAACAUAAAACCAGUAUUAACUAAUCUACAUAUUUUAUAAAUGAACCAAAAGAAAUAGAGAAAACAAAUGAUACCUCAAUGGCAGGAAAUAAAUAAUAUUUUAUUACUUUUUGGCUUAGAAUUCCUUUCUGCAUUUGCGGCCUUAAAUAGCACUACCAAAAAAUAACCCUUGUCGGACCAACACCGAAGCGAGUACAGUUCUUUCGCGUUGAACAAUAACAAUCGAAAAUUAAUAAUAUUUAGUCAGGGGCGGUAGCAGUUACAAUGAAUUGGCUAAAAAAUCAAGUUUACUAAUUAUUUCCCAAUUUAUAUUUUUUUUUUACAAAAUAAUCGUUAUAUUUUAAUAUUUAUUUUUAGCUCACAAAGUAAGAAUUAUUUGAUAACAGUUAAUUAUUGCUCACAGAAUAACAGUUAUGUGUUGAGUUUUAAUUAAUUCUUGUGUAAUUAAAGUUGAGGAGUAAACAUUUUGUUUUGCCACAUACCAGCUGUUUCAUGAAUAUUACUUUCAGAUCGUAAGAUUUAAGGGGGUUGUAUGGUAAAAGCAACCUUUUUUCAAUAAUUUUUUUACACACAAAUUUUUAUUUGAGAGUUCAGGUUUUUCAUAUGUUAUUCUACAUGUAAUUGUGUCAUAAUGUUGUCAAAUAUCUAUUACGCGAGAAAAGCACGUUUAAAGAUCGCUAGCUGUGUGAUUCAAGCGCACGACACUUUGCAGCGGAUCUCAUUUUUAAAAACUCGGUUUCUACAUUAUUAUCAUUAUAUAAUCAAAUUGUAAAAAUAGUGUGGAAUGCUGGGUAUAUGAAAAAUAUGUCACAAAGCACCCCACGCUUUUCCCACAAUAAUGCAGGAAUUUUUCCUUCAUUAUUGUUGUUAGUUUAUACAAAGAAUUAUUUUUCACUUUUUAGUUUGAUAUGCUUUAAAAGCGUGUUUUUUAGUUUUUUUUUAAACUAUAUUUAUUUUUAAUUUUUUAGUUUGAUGUGAUAAACCCCAAAUUUGUUAAAAUAUGAACUGUGGCAUGUAGUAUUGUUUAAGUUUUACUCGUAACCUUUCAUUGGCAAAAAAGUAACGAUACAAACUUGGCUUAAUCCAUUUCCAUUGUUCUUGUCUAGCAAUUAUAAUUCAAGUGGUCGACUCGGAAAGUAGGUGGUAAACUAGGUAGGCGUGUUGUCUCAUUUUCCAUUUUUUCAGGUAGAGGGGUUCAAAUAUAAGAUAGGUAGAAUAUUUCUUGGGUAUUUUAUAUUAAAAGAAUCUAUUUUUUCUUUUAUGAGAUUUACCAAUAUUAUGAAAUAUAAACGAAUAUAACUUAAAUCGUAUUCUCCGCCAUUAGAUUCGGUGACAAUUUUUGAAAAGCUCACAUCGAUGUGACAGCCAAAGUUUAAAAAAAAGGAGUUUUCUAUUGCAGUUGCUUUUCGGAGGCGUUUUGAAAACUAGUAUCUUAAUUUUUUUACUACAAAAAUUCUAUUAUAAGUAUUAAUUUUUUUAUUACAUAAAAGUCACAUUUUUUGCUUUAUUUGAUAUUAUUUCUUCUGGUGCGCGGUUAUACAUAUAUACAUAUGUAUGUAUAUCUAUAUAAAGUAUACUUUCUUUAAGGAUAUACAUAUGUACAUAUAAUUCAGUAUAUACAUGCUAUUCAAAUGUCACCAAAACUAGUUUUAUAUAGAUGUUGCAUACUUUUAAGCGCAUCUUUUUAGUGAGCUGCUUAAACUUACUAUCGCCUUCCUUCAGUGUCGCUGAAAUAUUCUAGGUUUCAGUACCACUUAAAAAGUUACAAACAAACAUACAUGCAUACAAGUGAAGCUAAUAAAAUCGUAUUAAAAGAAGAAACCCGUUAGGCGGAGGGCGUUCCCUUUUCAAGUAAGAGCUCAUACUUGGAGAGCCUUUCUUAGACCUUAUCAACAAAUUUUUCGGUAUAAUAAGCGACAAAACAUUCGUUUUUUUACCCACGCUGGAACACCUUGGAGCAUUUAUACAACGUUGUCACAUCAUGAGGCAACAUUUUCUCUCUCUAUGUGUUCAGCACAAUACUUUGAGAAAAGAACACGCAACAUUUAUAACCCAUGCGUAAAGAAGCAUAAAUGCGACAUUUUUGUGUUAAAAGAAAACGCUGUUAGUGCUAGUAAUUGUUAGUAAUUUAUUUUUUAUUGUAUGCAGUAAUGCUGUAAACACAAAGGAGUCGACAGUUAUGUAGUCGAGCAGCUGCCUAAAUAACUGUGUCUAUAAAGAUGUGUGUAUUUUAAUGAUGGACAGAUGGAGGCGACAGACUUCAAGCGGCAUCUGUCCAUUUGUGUUUACAGCUUGAUGUUUACUUUUUCAUCAUGGAAAGAUAUACACAAUAACAAGGUCACUAAUUAUUCAGUUUUAUUAUCAAAAUCAUUGUUCUCCAAUUUCCCUUUUUCAUGCGCUUUAGACAUUUUAUGGUCGUAAUAAUGGUUCACAUGUCCUCUCUAUUAAUCGAAUUGUUGACAAUUUCGAGCGUACAUUCUCUUUACAUAAUAUCGCAAUUUGUCGAUUCCAAGACGUUCUCAAGAAUUGGGACUGUCUCAAACCACAACCUGGCGAAUUUUGAGAAAGUAUUGGGGUUGUAUCCUUAUACAAUUUGCUGAUUUUACUUGAUAACCAUUAAAAAAGUCUUCUCCGAUGAGGCGGCUCACUUUCAUCUGAGUGGUGCGGUAAAUAAGCAAAACUAUCAAUUUUAGUACGAAGAAAAUCAACAAAUUAUUUAUGAACAAUCAUUGCAUUCACCUAAAUUAACAGUUUGAGGUGGUUUAUUGUCUAUCAUGGGAUGAUUCCACCAUCCAAGGGGUCCAACCUUACUGUCAAUACAGAGCGGUAUAUAUCGAUGAUAACCAACUUUUUAUAGCCGCAAUUGACAACAACUGGUUUCAACAAGACGAAGCUACGUGCUACACAGCACGUGCAACAACCGAAUUAUUGUGAGAAAAGUUUGAAGCUUCGAUUAUUUUAAGAAGUUGUGACAUGGAAUUGCCUCCAAGAAGUUGUGAUUUAAUACCUUUAGACUUUUUCUUGUGGGGUUAUUUAAACUUAUUGGUCUUUAGCAAUAAACCAGAUUCUCUUCAGGCUUUAUAAUAAUAAUACCCAACGAUUACCCUCCUCCCGCCCAACCGACACGAGGGGCGCAUACGAGCGGAAUUAGCCGAGUCAUAAAAAGCAAGAGAGUUUUAAGCGUUGUGAUCUUAUGCUGCUCAGCUACAGAAACAACAAUUUCAACAGCCAAAAUAAAGAAUUAGAUUAAAGUAAGUUUAUUAUUUUUAAAUGUUACUUGUUAAGAGUAGAUAAAAUAUUUUUUUUUUUUGGUUAAAAGUGUGAGUCUGUUAGAUCAAAUGUGCUGGAAUGAGAAUUGAAAUCGUGGCAUAUACGGCGGAAUGAUUCGUUUAACUCAAAAUUUGUUCUAGAAAAUUUUAAAAGUAAAGGUCUAAACUGCCUGGUAGAGCGAGCGGGAACGUUAAAAUUAAUAUCAGAUAGGAGAGAUGGGCUACAGACUGACCCAUUCAUGAGUUUUACAAGAAAUAUUUUACCAAGCAUCUCCCUACGACUAGCGAGUGUCGGGAGAUUUAUAAGUUUUAAACGGUUAAUGUAAGGGGGAAGAUUUAAACUGGAAUCCCAAUCAGUGAUCUGCAGUGAAUGAGUUAAACACAACUUUGAGCCACUUGCGAAAAAUUGAGUAUGAAGCAAGCAAAUUAUUCACGGAAUGAGUAUAAGUGUGAAUACUGCUCACUUACAAUUAUGAGAGAGAGAGUUUUGGCUUGUGAGCUGAUUAGCUUGUAUGAAGCAUAUAUUCACAAGUGUUUGCUUAUGAGCUCACAAUACUUAUGAAUCUUUGCUUAGGAUUCUCUGACAUUCAUGAAUACAAAACACUUGUGAAUAUACGAAGAAGCUCAGUUGUGCGCAAGCCACUUGCAAGCCUUUUGAGCCGUAACGCUAUGAACCAAAGGCUAGAAAAUCCAUUACGAAAGCACUAAGAGUUACUAUUAUAUAAUUGUAUAACAAAAAGGAUUUUGUAAUUGGUUCUAACUAAUAAUGACUAGAUCUAAUGAAAUAAAAAAAGGGGUUUUCAUAUUUUGUAUUAAUUUUCUCUAUUAUUAAAAAAAUUACAUAUAUGUACAUACUUACAUUCAUGUUAUCACUUAUAAUAUUACAUUUUAUUUUAUAAAAUGAUAAUUCAGUUCCUUUCAAUGGAAUUAAAAUUAAAAAUAAAAAUUACGUCAGUUUAAUGGUAUAAAAAUUACGUGAAUUAUUAACAAAAAACAAAAUAACACAAUUCAGUUCAUUUCGGUAAAAAAAUAUAAAUACUAAACAUAAAAUUUACUUCAAGAUUUAUGUACAUACAUAAGAUUCAACUCCAAAGAUACAAGUAUAUAUUAUAAGUAUAGCUUCUAAAUAUAUAUAUAAAUUUGUAGUUUUUACGAAGUCACUAGAAUCACGGGUUUCGUUUCUUUUAAAACCCCUCCGCGUAGGUAUAAACUUCAGGGACUCAUCUACCUAAGCUCUCCACUUUCUAAAAUGUAAGAUAAAGCUUUUCAUUUAGGCUUAAGAAAUAAUUGAAAUAAAAGGAUAAGAAACAAAGAAGUUUCAGUUUUGUAGUUUUUACGAAGUCACUAGAAUCACGGGUUUCGUUUCUUUUAAAACCCCUCCGCGUAGGUAUAAACUUCAGGGACUCAUCUACCUAAGCUCUCCACUUUCUAAAAUGUAAGAUAAAGCUUUUCAUUUAGGCUUAAGAAAUAAUUGAAAAAAAGGAUAAGAAACAAAGAAGUUUCAGUUUUGUAGUUUUUACGAAGUCACUAGAAUCACGGGUUUCGUUUCUUUUAAAACCCCUCCGCGUAGGUAUAAACUUCAGGGACUCAUCCACCUAAGCUCUCCAAUUUCUAGAAUGUAAGAUAAAGCUUAAGAAAAUAAUUGAAUAAAAGGAUAAGAAAUAAAGAAGUUUCAAGUUGCAGAUCACUGAUCCCAAUGCAAAUGAUUUAAGGCAAAAAGUAAAAAUUGUUUUUGAACGGACUCUAACUUAUCCGAAUGGACUUGGUAACUAGGGUUCCAAACCACAGAAGCAUACUCCAAUAUAGGCCUCACCAGAGAUGUAAAAAGAAUUUUUGUGGUAAGUGGAUCUCUAAAUUCUUUAGACCAACGUUUAACAAAACUAAGAGCGCCUUUAGCUUUAAAAACCGUGGAAGAUGCGUGAAGAUUAAAAUUGGGUUUAGGAUCCAUAGUUACUUCCAGAUCAACAAAACUGCAUACUUGCUCCAACCUAAAGUUUUGUAUUACGUAUGAAGUAUGGUCUACAGAUCUACGUGAAAAGCACAUCGUUUUACAUUUUUUAAGGUUCAAUGGCAUGACAUUUCUAAAACACCAAGAAACUAAGUCUGUUUGAGACCGACUUCUUUUGCUAUUUGAAGUAUAUGAUUGAAAAAGUUUUACAUCGUCAGCAUAAAAUAAAACGCUUGAAUACUUAAUAACAGAUGAUAUGUCAUUAAUAAAUAACAAGAACAGAAUUGGACCAAGACGGCUACCUUGAGGAACGCCUGAAGGAACAUUGAUUAUGUCAGAAAAAGUAUCGUUAAAUAUGACUUGUUGAGUUCGAUUACUAAGAUAAGAAGCAACCCAUUUUAGAAAUAUUGGUUGAAAACCAAAAUGAUCGAGUUUAUUGAAAAGAAUUGAAUGAUUUACUUUAUCAAAAGCUUUAUUAAAAUCUAUGUAUAUAACAUCAGUACGCUUAUUCUACCCUAAAGCCCGUUGAUACAUGUGAUACAAAUUCAAGCAAAUUAGUUACUGUAGAUUUCCCUUUACGAAAACCGUGCGGAGAACAUGAAAUUAGUGGAAAAAUCCGGAAGGUUAUGUAGUCUGUUAUAAUUGUUUCAAAAAGUUUAUGUAUUGCUGACAACUUUGAUAUUCCCCUAUAGUUUUCAAUAUAUGACCUAAAUCCACUCUUAUGCAAAGGAAUUAUAAAUGACUUUUUCCAGAUAUUUGGAAAUAAGCCUUGCUAAGUGGUGCAUUAAAUAGUUUUGAUAGGGAUUGGCAUGAGGAAAUCAUAUCUGGGCCAUAACUAAAUGAUUGUUCUAACAUAUUUAACUGAUAUAAGACUACUGCUUCGGAAAUGGUGGGUGCAUUAAUUACAGAAAUCGGACAUAACUUAUGCUGCUGCGGAUCAUUUUUUGGAGAGUAAUUGGACCUAAAGAAUUCAGCAAACAUAUUAGAAAUGUGUGAUUGUCACUAGACAUAGUAGACUCAUAUUUCAUAGCGGACGGAAAAUUAGAAAACUUGCGUUUGAGUUGACGAAACCAUAGAACAAUUUUGGAUUACGUAUAAUAUUUUUUUUUACUUUGUUUAUAUAAUUAUUAUAACAUAUUUUAUUAAGUUCAGCAAACUGUCGACGUAAUUUGGAAUAUUUUGAAUAGUCAACAACUAAACCCCAGUUUUUUUUUUAAGUUUAAAAGCACGAGAUUUUCUAUUUUUUAAUUUACAUUACUCUAGAACUCAUUCUUUGAGUAACAACACAUUUCGGAACAUAUUUUUCAAAUAAAUUUAAAAUAGUUUCAUUAAAAUGGGUAGCAAUAAAUUUAAUAUUGCCACUGUAAUCUGGCCAAGUUACUUUAGAAAGUUCGUAAUUAAUCUUCUUAAAAUUAGCUUUCGCAAAGUUGAACCGAGAACAAAGGUCAUGUGUAUUAUUAUGAACAAAGUUGGCUAUAUACAGUUCCUCAAAUAAUUGAUCGAACGUUUGCGGUGUGUUAACUUAUUCAAGGAUAAAAGAAAAAAUAAAACCAAAAUCAUAUCGAAAUAUUUUUUAUUAACAAAAGGAGAGGUUAACAUUUUCAAAACCCAAUGUAUAUUUCAUUCAAAAAGUGAAACAAAACAAAGCCACCCCUUGCUUGCAGAACUUAUUAGUUUCUGGCAGGCUUCUAUUGUGAUUUUUUUCCAGUGCGCUGUCACUUGUUGCCAAAGUGCGUCAAGGUUUCGGGGAAUUGAAUCACUACUUGCCAAGGAACUUUUGAGUUCUCCCAAAGGUGUUCUAUAGAACACUUGGAACCAACUUUUCGUAACUGUUACGGUAUGCUUGGGGUCAAUAUCCUGCUGAAAAGUUUAAUUUUCGACAGUGAGACCAUUGGCUCAAGCUAAGAGGUUUUGAUCGAAAAUAUGAAUAUAAUCGGAUGCGGUAAUUCGUCCUAGAAUCCUGUGACAUUUUCCGCCCCACUAUAAUUCAUACAACCCCAUAGCAUCAACGAACCACCACCAAAUUUAAGGGUUGCGAUAGUGGUUCACCUUUCCGGCACCACACCCACUGCCUCCCAUCUGAUCCAAAGCGAUUUAUUUUGGUCUCGUUAGACCAGAUCACUUUCUUCCAAUCUUCGAUUGUGAAACUUUUAUACUUUUUUGCAAAAUAUAGUCUCAAUUCUUUAUGGCGCUUUGUUAAAAAAGGUUUCUUAACCUUGGAGCGACCUUUCAAGCCAUGUUCGCGUAAGACGUUGCGAAUUGUUUCAUCACAAACGUUAAGCUGAUCAUUUUCCCGUAGCUGCUUAUUGAUUUCUACCGCAUUAUCACAUGCACCAGUCUUGAUUUGCCUAAUUAUUUUGCGUUUCAGUGAAUGAGACAGAAGACAUUUUCGUCCUGGCGACCGCUUUUUAGGCAAAUUUUCCAUUUUGUUACGUAUUAUGCUAAAGGUGGAUGUAGAGCAAUGAAUCCUGCGUGCUAUCUCACGGUGGGAAUGCCCUUCUCAUAAGAGAUUCUCUAUUAGACUUGUUGCUUCCUUUGAUAUCGGUUUAUAAAAAAAUUUUAUAAUAAUAACCUUUCAAUGUAAAAAAAUGAAAUGUAAUAAAUUUCUUUUGUUUCUACCGACAAAA